AAAGGCCCAAGUUCCUUGGACCCAACAGCUAAAAAAGCUUUCUUUAGAGGGGAAAUGGUCGGGCUGCGUUGGCCGAUGAUGGGCCUCGAUGGAUCUCCUCUCUCCAAGUCCUCGCGAAGUUACUAUUCCUUCUCCUCUUUCUUACCGACCCUCCUUUCGUUUUCCCGUCUUCCAGCCGCUGCCGCGGAAAGCUUGAGCGGCAGCUUUCGAUACGGCGGUGAAGUUUCUUGACUGGUACGUGAAGAUCGCGGUCUUCUCGGCCCUCGUCGGAGGCUCCAUGGAGUUGUUCAUGAUCAAGACUGGCUUCUGUGCACUAUUAAGCAGUUGGAGUCAAUUUUUAUCUGAUGAACCUUGCUUUAGAGCUCGCGAGCGAUGCUAGUGCGGCAGCUAUUGCGUUAGUCGAAUGGGAGUGGAUUUUACGGUGAUGGGUCGUGUUCAAAUUCGUCUCUUCGGAUGAGAAAAGCAUCGUUUAGUCAGUUCCUUUGUGACUGAAGUUGGGGUAGGACGGAAAUUCAUGAUUUCAGUGGUAUGUUGCAGUCGCUUGGUAUGUUGCAGUAGCUAGCUUGUGAAAGAGGAGGGCUUUGAUUUGGACCGUCGUGUUAUGCCGAUGAACUGAACAUUCUCGCUGUUCUACACGAAAAGCAUGAUGCGAAAAAAUGUUGUCUCAGGUGAUGAAUGGCGAUACCUAUGAAUGCGAAGUGUUCCACUGUCUGUGGAGAAUGGAUGGCUUGUGCAGCUAAUCAUCUGUUCAUUGAUACCAUCUGUGGGAGAAACUUCUGAAAAGUCGUUUAGGAGACUGGUUUUAAAAUUGAACUUACGACUGUGAUGCACAUCUCAGGAAAACAUUGAGCGGAUUGUUCUGCAGCUAUUUCAUAUCUUUCAGGGUAUAAUCAAAGAGUUAAAAUUUCUGAAGGAACACAAUUAGAUGAAGUGAUUUGUAGUCCCGUUGAAAUUGCAGUUACUUUGUGAUCUUAUUGAAGACUGAUGAGCUUUCAUCACUUGCAUCUUUCUGAAUGGAUUUUGGUAUAUACUAAAGAUUGUGAGAAUGUUGUUUGGUUGCCCUGCCUUCAUAACUACCUAUACUCUCGUGAGCAUCUUCAUGACGAAGAUUUUCCUGUAUGCAGAUUCUGGAAUUUAUAUGUUCUCUUGGCAUUGUUCUUGAUGUAGUUUCCCCUCCAAAUGUACUUCAAAUUCUUUUUGGCUUA